GACGAACGCUGGCGGCGUGCUUAACACAAGCAAGUCGAGCGGAGCGGCGAACGGGUGAGUAACGCGUGAGUACCUGCCCCCCUCUCUGUGAUACCAGUUGGAAACGGCUGCUAAUACCGGUUAGUGGGGUAUGACUCGCGUCCUAUCAGCUUGUGGGUGGGGUAGUGGCCUACCACGGCGACGACGGGUAGCCGGCCUGAGAGGGCGACCGGCCACAUUGGGCUGAGAUACGUCCCAAACUCAUACGGGAGGCAGCAGUGGGGAAUAGUGCACAAUGGGGGAAACCCGUAUGCAGCAACGCCGCGUGCGGGAUGACGGCCUUCGGGUUGUAAACCGCUUUCAGCCAUGACGCGGUAGUGGCAGAAUAAGCACCGGCUAACUACGUGCCAGCAGCCGCGGUAAUAC
rnacentral:rRNA from 1 species